rnacentral:SRP_RNA from 1 species
GCCAGGCGUGGUGGUGUGCGCUUGUAAUCCCAGCUACUCUGGAGGCUGAGGUGGGAGGAUUGCUUGAGCCCAGGGGCUUGAGACUGCAGUGACCUGUGAUUGUGCCGCUGCACUCCAGCCUGGACAACAGAGCAAGACCCUGUCUCAA